rnacentral:rRNA from 1 species
AACGAACGCUGGCGGCAUGCCUAACACAUGCAAGUCGAACGAGACCUUCGGGUCUAGUGGCGCACGGGUGCGUAACGCGUGGGAACCUGCCCUUAGGUUCGGAAUAACUCCCCGAAAGGGGUGCUAAUACCGGAUAAUGUCUUCGGACCAAAGAUUUAUCGCCUUUGGAUGGGCCCGCGUCGGAUUAGCUAGUUGGUAGGGUAAAAGCCUACCAAGGCGACGAUCCAUAGCUGGUCUGAGAGGAUGAUCAGCCACACUGGGACUGAGACACGGCCCAGACUCCUACGGGAGGCAGCAGUGGGGAAUAUUGGACAAUGGGCGAAAGCCUGAUCCAGCAAUGCCGCGUGAGUGAUGAAGGCCUUAGGGUUGUAAAGCUCUUUUACCCGGGACGAUAAUGACAGUACCGGGAGAAUAAGCUCCGGCUAACUCCGUG